GAUGAACGCUAGCGGCAGGCUUAAUACAUGCAAGUCGAGGGGUAGCAAGAUUGUAGCAAUACAAUUGUUGACGACCGGCAAACGGGUGCGGAACACGUACACAACCUUCCUACAAGUGGGGAAUAGCCCAGAGAAAUUUGGAUUAAUACCCCGUAACAUAGCGAUGUGGCAUCACAUUGCUAUUAUAGCUUCGGCGCUUGUUGAUGGGUGUGCGGCUGAUUAGAUAGUUGGCGGGGUAACGGCCCACCAAGUCUACGAUCAGUAGUUGAUGUGGUAGCAUGAUCAACCAGACGGGCACUGAGACACGGGCCCGACUCCUACGGGAGGCAGCAGUAAGGAAUAUUGGACAAUGGACGCAAGUCUGAUCCAGCCAUGCCGCGUGAAGGAUUAAGGUCCUCUGGAUUGUAAACUUCUUUUAUAAGGGACGAAAAAAGGUCUUUCUAGAUCGUCUGACGGUACCUUAUGAAUAAGCACCGGCUAACUCCGUGCCAGCCGCCGCAGUAAGAC
rnacentral:rRNA from 1 species